ACUUAAUUAGUUUAAUUAGAAUAAUGGUUUGUGGUAUCAUUGGAACAUGUAAAUGUAUUAGGUU
rnacentral:tRNA from 1 species